rnacentral:lncRNA from 1 species
CACUCAUCUAAUUUUAUAAAUUCAUUAAAAUUUAUUCUCCCAUCUCCAUUUUCAUCAAACACACUAAUCAUUCUCCUGCAGUUCUCUAUUUCUAAUCCUUCCUUUAAGCGCAGAGAACAUAGAACCGUUUGCAACUCUCUUGCAUCAAUAAAUCCAUCUUUGUUCUGGUCAAACAUAUCAAAAGCUAAUUUCACUUCAUCCAAACAAGGAUUCUUCUCUUCAAACAUGUUGAAAAGGUCAUUAGCAUCCAAUUUUUCUGGAAGCUUCCCUUCUUCAGGACUAAAAAAAAUUCCCAUACUGAUUAUAACUAUUUCCAUAUCUCCUUUACACACACUUUCAUCAACCAUCUUCUCUCUAAAGGACGGUUUCUUCUUGGAUAACUCAAAAUCUUUGUUCCUCCAGCCUGAACUUUGGGUUCACUGAACCUAAUGAAUCGGGAUUGGAUUGAAAAUUUGCAUUCUGUUAAAAAAAAAAAAAAAAACUGUGGAUUUUCUCUCCGUUCAGGAUUAUAUGGAGAAAGAGGAAAUGGACCAAUCCAAGAAUUAGACUGAUACGUUGAAUUGUAUUCAUCGAUAUGUUCUCUAGGGGCAAUUGAUUCAAAUAAAUGAGAGACAUGGCUAAUGAUUUUCUCUGAAUGACAAAAGGAUUAGAAUGUUUAAAAAAUAUAUCUUAAAUGCAGAUGGAGACCAGAUUGCUGGAAAUGAUAUGAUGAAAUUGAAAUUGAUAGCUUUCAAAUUUGAGGAAGGUGCUUGUGAGGUGCAGUCCAAGUCUUUUAAAAUUGUCAAAAACAUUAAGAAAU